ACGGGUGAGUAAUAUAUCGGAACGUACCCUAGAGUAGGGGAUAACGCAGCGAAAGUUGCGCUAAUACCGCAUACGAUCUACGGAUGAAAGUGGGGGAUCGCAAGACCUCAUGCUCAUGGAGCGGCCGAUAUCUGAUUAGCUAGUUGGUAGGGUAAAAGCCUACCAAGGCUUCGAUCAGCAGCUGGUCUGAGAGGACGACCAGCCACACUGGAACUGAGACACGGUCCAGACUCCUACGGGAGGCAGCAGUGGGGAAUUUUGGACAAUGGGCGCAAGCCUGAUCCAGCAAUGCCGCGUGAGUGAAGAAGGCCUUCGGGUUGUAAAGCUCUUUUGUCAGGGAAGAAACGGUGGACUCUAAUACAGAUCACUAAUGACGGUACCUGAAGAAUAAGCACCGGCUAACUACGUGCCAGCAGCCGCGGUAAUACGUAGGGUGCAAGCGUUAAUCGGAAUUACUGGGCGUAAAGCGUGCGCAGGCGGUUGUGCAAGACAGAUGUGAAAUCCCCGGGCUCAACCUGGGAAUUGCAUUUGUGACUGCACGGCUAGAGUGUGUCAGAGGGGGGUAGAAUUCCACGUGUAGC
rnacentral:rRNA from 1 species